UCGCUGCCAAUGCCACCUACUCCAGCUAGCGGCCGCCGGGCUGAGGAGAGGCCAUGCUCCACCUGCUAGAACAGGGCACACGUUCCUCCACGCCAGACCCCUCCCUCGCCAUCUCCACCCGCCGCUCUCGCCGUCCUCGCCUCGUCGUCCUCCUCGCAAAUCUCCGCCUCCUAGAACUGGGCACUCAGGCACUGGACUCCUCUUCAUCGUCGAUCCCUGGCUCUAUUGCUAAGCAUCGCUGUUGGUGCCCAAACCUAUUGCUUCAACUAAUGCUGAUUUACUGAAAUGAGUGGUUGCAUAUAAAAUUAAGGAGUACUGCAGCUUCUACUACUGUUUGCUGUGUACCUCAAAACCUGAUAGGUAUUCGCCUGCAUUAACAAGAUUCCAAGUUGUACUAUAUAAU
rnacentral:lncRNA from 1 species